rnacentral:rRNA from 1 species
GAUGAACGCUGGCGGCGUGCCUAAUACAUGCAAGUCGAGCGGACCAAAGAGAGCUUGCUCUCUGAGGUUAGCGGCGGACGGGUGAGUAACACGUGGGUAACCUGCCUGUAAGACGGGGAUAACUUCGGGAAACCGAAGCUAAUACCGGAUGAUAAAGAGAAACGCCUGUUUCUUUUUUGAAAGUCGGCCUUGUGCUGACGCUUACAGAUGGGCCCGCGGCGCAUUAGCUCGUUGGUGAGGUAACGGCUCACCAAGGCGACGAUGCGUAGCCGACCUGGGAGGGUGAUCGGCCACACUGGGACUGAGACGCGGCCCAGACUCCUACGGGAGGCAGCAGGAGGGAAUCUUCGGCAAUGGACGAAAGUCUGACCGAGCAACGCCGCGUGAGCGAUGAAGGCCUUCGGGUCGUAAAGCUCUGUUGUCAGAGAAGAACAAGUACCGGAGUAACUGCCGGUACCUUGACGGUACCUGACCAGAAAGCCACGGCUAACUACGUGCCAGCCGCCGCCGUAAUAC